GACGAAUGAUGGCGGAGGGAGGAACACAGGCAAGUCGAACGGAAAGGCCCUGCUUUUGUGGGGUGCUCGAGUGGCGAACGGGUGAGUAACACGUGAGUAACCUGCCCUUGACUUUGGGAUAACUUCAGGAAACUGGGGCUAAUACCGGAUAGGAGCUCCUGCUGCAUGGUGGGGGUUGGAAAGUUUCGGCGGUUGGGGAUGGACUCGCGGCUUAUCAGCUUGUUGGUGGGGUAGUGGCUUACCAAGGCUUUGACGGGUAGCCGGCCUGAGAGGGUGACCGGCCACAUUGGGACUGAGAUACGGCCCAGACUCCUACGGGAGGCAGCAGUGGGGAAUAUUGCACAAUGGGCGGAAGCCUGAUGCAGCAACGCCGCGUGCGGGAUGCCGGCCUUCGGGUUGUAAACCGCUUUCGCCUGUGACGAAGCGUGAGUGACGGUAAUGGGUAAAGAAGCACCGGCUCCCUACGUG
rnacentral:rRNA from 1 species